rnacentral:misc_RNA from 1 species
UCUCCGUAGGUGAACCUGCGGAGGGAUCAUUACAGAGUUCUCGCCCUCGCGGGUAGAUCUCCCACCCACUGUUAUCGUUACUGUCGUUGCCUUGGCGGGCCGCCGGAUCCCCGGCCGCCGGCGACUAAUUGGCAGUGCGCGCCCGCCAGUGGCCUUCUAAACCUGUAUGAUAGUGUCGUCUGAGUACUAUUAGAUAUUUAAAACUUUCAACAACGGACCGCUUGGUUCUGGCAUCGAUUAAGAACGCAUCACAUCGGAAGAUCACACGUCCGAACUCCA